rnacentral:snoRNA from 1 species
CCGCAGCUAAUUAAGCCGGUCGGGGUCCCUUUUCCCCGUGGGGCCCCGGCGUGCACUGGCUGCGCACAGCGACCCCCCCGGCUGUGUAGGGCGCCCGGUGCCACCCCCCCGCCGGGCGUCCCAAGGGGCUGGGGGCACAAAG